rnacentral:rRNA from 1 species
UACGUAGGGGUGCAAGCGUUUAAUCGGAAUUACUGGGCGUAAAGCGUGCGCAGGCGGUUUUUGUAAGUUUGUCGUGAAAUCCCCCGGGCUCAACCUGGGAAUGGCGAUGAAGACUGCAAGGCUAGAAUCUGGCAGAGGGGGGGUAGAAUUCCACGUGUAGCAGUGAAAAUGCGUAGAGAUGUGGAGGAACACCGAUGGCGAAGGCAGCCCCCUGGGUCAAGAUUGACGCUCAUGCACGAAAGCGUGGGGAGCAAACAGG